rnacentral:rRNA from 1 species
UACAGAGGGUGCAAGCGUUGUUCGGAAUUAUUGGGCGUAAAGAGCUCGUAGGCGGUUUGUUGCGUCGGCCGUGAAAACCUGCAGCUUAACUGUGGGCCUGCGGCCGAUACGGGCAGACUAGAGGUAUGCAGGGGAGAACGGAAUUCCUGGUGUAGCGGUGGAAUGCGCAGAUAUCAGGAGGAACACCGGUGGCGAAGGCGGUUCUCUGGGCAUUACCUGACGCUGAGGAGCGAAAGUGUGGGGAGCGAACAGG